CAAUCCUAGGGAACAGUGAAGCUUCAUACGGUCUUUCUGUCCAGGUGCAGGUAGUCCGCAUCUUCAUAGACAUGUCUAUUUCACCGAACCUCUCUCCGAAAUAGUGCCCAGAUCGUUAUGCCUUUCGUGCGGGUCAGAACUUACCCGACAAGGAAUUUCGCUACCUUAGGACCAUUAUAGUUACGGUCGCCGGUACUCGCAAGCGAA